rnacentral:antisense_RNA from 1 species
CUUCACCGAGCCCAGCCACAGCGGCCGGUCGUCGGGGCGGUUGCGGCCGUAGGUGGCCAGCAGGGCGUGCGCCUC